CCUACGUGAGGCAGCAGUGGGGAAUAUUGGGCAAUGGGCGCAAGCCUGACCCAGCACCGCCGCGUGACGGAAGAAGGCUUUCGGGUUGUAAACUUCUUUUAAGAGGGUAGAGCAGACGACGGUACCUCUUGAAUAAGCCACGGCUAACUACGUGCCAGCAGCCGCGGUAAUACGUAGGUGGCAAGGGUUGUCCGGAUUUACUGGGUGUAAAGGGCGUGUAGCCGGGCUGACAAGUCCGAUGUGAAAUCCGGGGGCUCAACCCCCGAACUGCAUUUGAAACUGUUGGUCUUGAGUAUCGGAGAGGCAGGCGGAAUUCCUAGUGUAGCGGGGAAAUGCGUAGAUAUUAGGAGGAACACCAGUGGCGAAGGCGGCCUGCUGGACGACAACUGACGGUGAGGCGCGAAAGCGUGGGGAGCAAACAGGAUUAGAUACCCUAGUAGUC
rnacentral:rRNA from 1 species